GGCUAGUCCCAUCUCAGUAGCACAAGUGCAUCACUCGCCGAAAUUUCAACGUUCGUGAAAGGGAAUUAAAGGGAAUAAGAGACACAGCAACAGUGAAAUCGAACGAUUAUGGUUAUCAAUAUAAUUUAUCUGAUAGCUUUAUGCCUCAUUCUGACUGUUAUUAAACUCCGGCAAAAGUCAGUGGACCCUAAACCAGGAGAGAAGAUUCCAGGUCCAUUCCCAUGGCCCGUAUUAGGUAAUUUGCGACUGCUGCGGAGAAUGUGCAAAAAAUUCGGUGGACAACACAAAGCGUUCCUCGAACUCUCCAAGGACUACAACAGUGAUAUAAUUAAUUUACGUCUCGGAAGUUCAAAUGUCAUCGUUGUCUGCGGAUUCGAUGCUGUCACGAAAAUUUUACGCGACGAGACGUUCGACGCUAGACCGUGGAAUGAGUUUUCAAAAAUUCGUAAUAUGGGAAUGCAGAAAGGAAUUACGAUGCACGAAGGCCCCGAGUGGCGGGAAAUGCGCUCUUGGUUGGUCAGGUCUCUCAGAGACUUGGGAUUUGGACGUGAAGAAAUGUCAGAUAAGAUUAGAGACGAAUUGGUGAUUAUUCUCGAGAAUUUGAAAAUGAAGGGCGGUGGAAUCGUAACAAUGAAGCCCAUUAUUGCACCGGCUGUUAUUAACGUCAUCUGGAGUGUGGCGACGGGGAAGAGAAUUGAAGAUGAAAAACGUUUAAGGUAUUUUCUUGAUCUCAUGGACCGUCGAGCGAGAGCUUUCGACAUAGCGGGAGGAAUGUUAUCAGUAUUUCCAUGGAUAAGACAUUUUGCGCCAAAGACUUCCGGUUAUGAACUACUAAUCACCCUCAAUGAAGAACUUAAAUCGUUUUUAAUGGAAACCAUAAACGAGCACAAAAAACAUUACACACCGGGCAAAGAGAUGGAUCUGAUAGACAUGUUUCUCGCGGAAAUGUAUAAUGGAAAAGGCCCAGAGGCUGGUUUCACGGAGAACCAAUUAUUAAUGAUAUUAAUCGACUUGUUCCUUGCUGGAUCUCACACAACUCAGACAACACUAGAUUUUAUGUUUUUCUAUAUGACACUCCAUCAAGAUGCUCAGGAGAAGGUGCAUAAGGAACUUGAUUCUGUAAUUAGUUGUGGGCGAUUGCCGGAGCAGACAGAUCGACCAUUACUUCCAUACACUGAAUCUGUCAUGACCGAGUCCCAGAGGCUACGACUGGUCACACCGAUAAUUGGGCCCCGACGGGCGUUAAGUGACGCGACACUCGAUGGCUACAAAAUACCAAAAGGCUCUUGCAUUCUCAUGAAUCUCUACAGUGUCCACACUAAUCCUGAUGAUUUCGAAGACCCAGAGGCAUUCAAACCCGAGAGAUUCAUGGAGAACGGUGCGCAUGUGCCCCACAAAAAGCUCAUAUUUUUCGGCGGAGGUCACAGACGCUGUCCAGGCGAGACUGUCGCAAGAUCCGCAGUGUUUCUGCUGUUUGCUGGAAUCAUGAGAAAUUACAAAUUGCUUCCUGUCCCGGGAGCAUAUCUCGAUGUGGAGCCACAGCACGGGCUCACGAUAUCGCCGAAACCGUAUGAGAUACUUCUCGUGCCUCGUUCGACAUGAUUAUUCCAUUCACAUUUGUGAUAAUUCAAGAGUAUUAGUUGAUAAAUUAUUCAUUUUUUCGUGGAAUUAAUUUAAUGAGAUAUGGCCGUGGUGACACUGUGAAUCCAUCUAUUCCGUCUAGUCUGGGGAGUCCUUGAUCCUCUGGUGCUUCUAUAUCGAAAUUGUGGAUUAUGGAGGAAAAGAAGAGGAACAGCGACGCUCUUGCCAAUAUUUCUCCCAAACAUCGUCGUUUUCCUGUGGAAAAAAAUCAUUUCGAGCAUUCGGAAACAAUUCUAAUAAUUAGUAACAACAGAAAUAGUUUUUUAAAUUAUUAAAAAAAAUUAUUUACCCAAA